rnacentral:rRNA from 1 species
UACGUAGGGCGCAAGCGUUGUCCGGAAUUAUUGGGCGUAAGAGCUCGUAGGCGGUUUGUCGCGUCUGCUGUGAAAACCUAAGGCUCAACCUUGGGCUUGCAGUGGGUACGGGCAGACUAGAGUGCGGUAGGGGUGACUGGAAUUCCUGGUGUAGCGGUGGAAUGCGCAGAUAUCAGGAGGAACACCGAUGGCGAAGGCAGGUCACUGGGCCGCAACUGACGCUGGAGGAAGCCGAAAGCCAUGGGGAGCGAACAGG